GGGUCCGUAGCUCAACUAGGUAGAGCAAAUCCCUUUUAAGGAUGUGGUUGUGCGUUCGAUUCGCGCCGGACCCA
rnacentral:tRNA from 1 species